GUUUCUGUAGUUAAAGGUUUAUAACGACGGCUUUUCAGGCCGUAGGUGCUUGGAGAAAAGCCAAGUAGGAACU
rnacentral:tRNA from 1 species